CAGUCGAGCGAGAAGCUCGUGACGGACGCUUCGGUUGAAGUCACGAGUGGAAAGCGGCGGACGGGUGAGUAACGCGUAGGCAACCUGCCCUUUGCAGAGGGAUAGCCUCGGGAAACCGGGAUUAAAACCUCAUAAUACCGCAGUGAGACAUCUCACGGCGGUCAAAGAUUUAUCGGCAAAGGAUGGGCCUGCGUCUGAUUAGUUAGUUGGUGGGGUAACGGCCUACCAAGGCGACGAUCAGUAGCCGACCUGAGAGGGUGAUCGGCCACAUUGGAACUGAGACACGGUCCCAACUCCUACGGGAGGCAGCAGUGGGGAAUAUUGCACAAUGGGGGAAACCCUGAUGCAGCAACGCCGCGUGAAGGAUGAAGGCCUUUGGGUCGUAAACUUCUGUUCUAAGGGAAGAUAGUGACGGUACCUUAGGAGCAAGUCCCGGCUAACUACGUGCCAGCAGCCGCGGUAAUACGUAGGGGGCAAGCGUUAUCCGGAAUUAUUGGGCGUAAAGAGUACGUAGGUGGUUUUCUAAGCACGGGGUUUAAGGCAAUGGCUUAACCAUUGUUCGCCUUGUGAACUGGAAGACUUGAGUGCAGGAGAGGAAAGCGGAAUUCCUAGUGUAGCGGUGAAAUGCGUAGAUAUUAGGAGGAACACCAGUGGCGAAGGCGGCUUUCUGGACUGUAACUGACACUGA
rnacentral:rRNA from 1 species